AUUGAACGCUGGCGGCAGGCCUAACACAUGCAAGUCGAACGAGUGGCGGACGGGUGAGUAAUGUCUGGGAAACUGCCUGAUGGAGGGGGAUAACUACUGGAAACGGUAGCUAAUACCGCAUACCAUCGGAUGUGCCCAGAUGGGAUUAGCUAGUAGGUGGGGUAACGGCUCACCUAGGCGACGAUCCCUAGCUGGUCUUAGAGGAUGACCAGCCACACUGUGACUGAGACACGGUCCAGACUCCGACGGGAUGCAGCAGUGGGUAAUAUUGCACAAGGGGCACAAGCCUGAUGCAGCGAUGCCGCGUGUGUAAAGAAGGCUGUGUGGAUGUAAAGUACUUUCUGCGCAGAGGCUUUGCCCGCUGAAGAACCACCGCCUCACUCCGUGCCAGCCGCCGCGGUAAUAC
rnacentral:rRNA from 1 species